rnacentral:tRNA from 1 species
GCCUGGCUGGCUCAGUCGGUGGAGCGUGUGAUUCGUGAUCUCAGGGUUGUGAGUUCAAGCCCCCGCUGGGUG